rnacentral:tRNA from 1 species
GGGACCAGGGCCGGAUGACUAGGCUCUCGUUUUACAAACGAGUACAAGCAGGUUCGAUUCCUGCUGGUCCCA